rnacentral:lncRNA from 1 species
GGGCUCCCAGUUAGUAAGGGAUGAAUCUUUGUCUGUGGGGGUUGUGCUGGAGGACUCCAUCUUCAUCCAACUCAUCGUCUGUGCAGAGCAGCUCCCAGAAGGAGCUGUGUGCUCCUGCGGCAGGGAUAAUAAUUCAAUUUUGUGAGCGGGAGAGAAAACAAACAGAGAGAGCUGCCAUGCUGUUUGCUCCGGGAAAGGAAAAGCCCUUGCAGAGCCUGGAGCUAAAAACAGCUCCAAACCUGCCCUUGCGAAGCCUGGAGGAGUAAGAGGAUUAAGAGCGAUGUGAAAUUAAAUGCCAGCUUCUCCAGAUAAAGGGGCCAGCUGCAUGCAGCCAAGCACCCGUGCAUC